UUAGCUACGUGGUUAAGUCAAUUUGUUCUUAUCAGUUUAAUAUCUGAUAUGCUCUGUAUCUGAGAGCUGUGUAUUAAAUGGAAUUUUGGGAAUGGGAGGUGCUCUAGGGGCUUGCUCCCUGCCCUCCGUGCAACUGAUAACGAAUAUCACUAGUUUUCUGAGGACUAGGGACAGGUUGAAUAUUAU